UACAGAGGUCCCAAGCGUUGUUCGGAUUCAUUGGGCGUAAAGGGUGCGUAGGCGGCGCGGUAAGUCGGAUGUGAAAUCUCGGAGCUUAGCUUCGAAACUGCAUUCGAUACUGCCGUGCUUGAGGACUGGAGAGGAGACUGGAAUUUACGGUGUAGCGGUGAAAUGCGUAGAUAUCGUAAGGAAGACCAGUGGCGAAGGCGGGUCUCUGGACAGUUCCUGACGCUGAGGCACGAAGGUCAGGGGAGCAAACGGG
rnacentral:rRNA from 1 species